rnacentral:rRNA from 1 species
AGCAGUCGCCACGGUAAAACGAAGGGUGCAAGCGUUACUCGGAAUUACUGGGCGUAAAGCGUGCGUAGGUGGUGGUUUAAGUCCGUUGUGAAAGCCCUGGGCUCAACCUGGGAAUUGCAGUGGAUACUGGGUCACUAGAGUGUGGUAGAGGAUAGUGGAAUUUCCGGUGUAGCAGUGAAAUGCGUAGAGAUCGGAAGGAACAUCUGUGGCGAAGGCGACUAUCUGGGCCAACACUGACACUGAGGCACGAAAGCGUGGGGAGCAAACAGGAUUAGAUACCCGUGUAGCCUGUCUCUUAUACAC